rnacentral:rRNA from 1 species
AUGAAGGGGUUGAAGCUUUCGGAGGAGGAGAAGAAGGGAGUGAAGAUCCAAAUCCCAGCGAGGGAGAAGGGCAAGAACGUGGAGAUCCAAGCGGAGGGUAAGGUCCUGUCAGAUAAUUUGGUGCAUCAGGACGCGAUCUCUCUGUCACUAGGGCGCGUGUGGUGUCCGAUCAAGGGCACUGACUGCAAGGACGUGGGGGACAACCUGUUUGUGUUCACUUUCAAUCAAGAGUCUGGUAAGAGGAAGGCAAUCGAAGACGGACCGUGGAUGUUCAACAAGGAUCUGGUGGUGGUUGAGGAUUAUGUGCCAAGCAAGCGGAUGGAGGAUUAUGAGUUCAACAACAUCCAGAUCUAGGUGUGAGUGUAUGGUCUACCCCUUGGCAUGAUGAACAAGGAGUCAGCAGAGGAGGUUGGGAACAUCAUAGGAAGGUAUGUGGAGGCAGAUACGGGGAGGGAUGGUAAGGCAAUGGGGAAGUUCAUGAGAGUGAAGGUGAGGUUUUGUAUUGAGAAACCCAUCAUGAGAGGUUUUACACUUGAGAAUGAUGAUCAAGGGGAGGCAGGGAGGAAGAAGAAGGGAAAGGCUGGAGAGCAGGAUGAUGAUGGGUCAUGGUGCCAUUUUGAAUACGAGUACCUCCCUGAUUUUUAUUACACGUGUGGUAUCAUUGGUCAUGGAGAGAAGGACUGCUCGACGAAACUGGAGAGAGGGAAGGAGGCUUAGUUUGGUAGAUGGCUCAAGGCAGACAUGGGCCAAAGAAGAAGGAGCAAUGAGGAGGGUUGA